GACGAACGCUGGCGGCGUGCUUAACACAUGCAAGUCGAACGGAAAGGCCCUGCUUUUGUGGGGUGCUCGAGUGGCGAACGGGCGAGUAACACGUGAGUAACCUGCCCUUGACUUUGGGAUAACUUCAGGAAACUGGGGCUAAUACCGGAUAGGAGCUCCUGCUGCAUGGUGGGGGUUGGAAAGUUUCGGCGGUUGGGGAUGGACUCGCGGCUUAUCAGCCUGUUGGUGGGGUAGUGGCUUACCAAGGCUUUGACGGGUAGCCGGCCUGAGAGGGUGACCGGCCACAUUGGGACUGAGAUACGGCCCAGACUCCUACGGGAGGCAGCAGUGGGGAAUAUUGCACAAUGGGCGGAAGCCUGAUGCAGCAACGCCGCGUGCGGGAUGACGGCCUUCGGGUUGUAAACCGCUUUCGCCUGUGACGAAGCGUGAGUGACGGUAAUGGGUAAAGAAGCACCGGCUAACUACGUG
rnacentral:rRNA from 1 species